rnacentral:rRNA from 1 species
GACGAACGCUGGCGGCGUGCCUAACACAUGCAAGUCGAACGGAAAGGCCCUGCUCUUGUGGGGUGCUCGAGUGGCGAACGGGUGAGUAACACGUGAGUAACCUGCCCUUGACUUUGGGAUAACUCCAGGAAACUGCGGCUAAUACCGGAUAGGAGCUCCUGCUGCAUGGUGGGGGUUGGAAAGUUUCGGCGGUUGGGGAUGGACUCGCGGCUUAUCAGCUUGUUGGUGGGGUAGUGGCUUACCAAGGCUUUGACGGGUAGCCGGCCUGAGAGGGUGACCGGCCACAUUGGGACUGAGAUACGGCCCAGACUCCUACGGGAGGCAGCAGUGGGGAAUAUUGCGCAGUGGGCGGAAGCCUGAUGCAGCAACGCCGCGUGCGGGAUGACGGCCUUCGGGUUGUAAACCGCUUUCGCCUGUGACGAAGCGUGAGUGACGGUAAUGGGUAAGGAAGCACCGGCUAACUACGUG